rnacentral:rRNA from 1 species
GUCCAUGCCGUAAACGAUGUCAACUAGCCGUUGGGGACCUUGAGUCUUUAGUGGCGCAGCUAACGCGAUAAGUUGACCGCCUGGGGAGUACGGCCGCAAGGUUAAAACUCAAAUGAAUUGACGGGGGCCCGCACAAGCGGUGGAGUAUGUGGUUUAAUUCGAUGCAACGCGAAGAACCUUACCUGGCCUUGACAUAUCCGGAACCCUGCAGAGAUGCGGGGGUGGCCUUCGGGAAUCGGAUACAGGUGCUGCAUGGCUGUCGU